rnacentral:lncRNA from 1 species
AUAAACAUUUAAUAAAAUUUUACGUUUAAUUUCUUUUCUUUCUAAUACAUAUAAAAUAUUAUAAAUUGAUACAAUUUUUUCUUUUUUUUUUCUUUUUUUUUUGAGAGAUAGGUCGCUACCCACUUCGUUUAUUUCAUUUAGAAAUAAAUUUAGCUGGAAAUAUAAAUCAACUAGGAUUCGAAACCAAGCCCUUUGCCACUUGCUCUAGGGACGGUUGGUCAAUUUUUUU